rnacentral:rRNA from 1 species
GGGUGAGUAAUAUAUCGGAACGUACCUUGUAGUGGGGGAUAGCUCGGCGAAAGCCGGAUUAAUACCGCAUACGCUCUGAGGAGGAAAGCGGGGGACCUUCGGGCCUCGCGCUACAAGAGCGGCCGAUAUCAGAUUAGCUAGUUGGUGGGGUAAAAGCUUACCAAGGCGACGAUCUGUAGCUGGUCUGAGAGGACGACCAGCCACACUGGGACUGAGACACGGCCCAGACUCCUACGGGAGGCAGCAGUGGGGAAUUUUGGACAAUGGGCGAAAGCCUGAUCCAGCAAUGCCGCGUGUGUGAAGAAGGCCUUCGGGUUGUAAAGCACUUUUGUCCGGAAAGAAAUCCUCUGGGUUAAUACCUCGGGGGGAUGACGGUACCGGAAGAAUAAGCACCGGCUAACUACGUGCCAGCAGCCGCGGUAAUACGUAGGGUGCGAGCGUUAAUCGGAAUUACUGGGCGUAAAGCGUGCGCAGGCGGUUUUGUAAGACGGAUGUGAAAUCCCCGGGCUCAACCUGGGAACUGCAUUCGUGACUGCAAGGCUAGAGUAUGGCAGAGGGGGGUAGAAUUCCACGUGUAGCAGUGAAAUGCGUAGAGAUGUGGAGGAAUACCGAUGGCGAA